ACAGUACAAACUGAGCAGGCGAUGAACCGUUAAGGUCAUGGGGCCGGGGUGCGUAAAGCAGCAGCAGAUCGUGUAUCCGCACAUCUGUGGGACAGU
rnacentral:ncRNA from 1 species